GACGAACGCUGGCGGCGUGCUUAACACAUGCAGGUCGAAGGGAAGGACCUGAAUUUGUGGGGCUGACGGGUGGCGAAUGGGGGAGGAAUAAGGGAGUCACCUGACCCUGCUUUUUGGAUAAAUUUAAGGAACUGGGGCUUAUACUGGAAAGGCAUCCCAGCUGCAUGGGGGGGGAUGGAAAGUUUCGGCCGUUGGGGAUUGACUUGCGGCUUAUCAGCUUGUUGGGGGGGUAGGGGCUUUCCCAAGCAUUGACGGGUAGCCGGCCUGGGAAGGUGGCCAGCCACAUGAGGACUGAGAGACGGCCCAGACGCCUACAGGGGGCAGCAGUGGGAAAUAUUGCACAAUGGGCGGGAGCCUGAUGCAGCAGCGCCGCGUGCGGGAUGACGGCCUUCGGGUUGUGAACCGCUUUCGCCUGUGACGAAGCGUGAGUGGCGGUAAUGGGUAAAGAAGCACCGGCUAACUACGUG
rnacentral:rRNA from 1 species